GUUGAGUUUGAUCAUGGCUCAGAUUGAACGCAGGCGGCAUGCCUAACACAUGCAAGUCGAACGCGAAAGUCCUUCGGGGCGAGUAGAGUGGCGGACGGGUGAGUAAUGUGUGGGAAUCUGCCCUGCAGCGGGGGAUAACCCGGGGAAACUCGGACUAAUACCGCAUACGACCUACGGGUGAAAGGGGGCUUCGGCUCUCACUGCAGGAUGAGCCCACAUCCGAUUAGCUUGUUGGUGGGGUAAUGGCCUACCAAGGCUGCGAUCGGUAGCUGGUCUGAGAGGAUGAUCAGCCACACUGGGACUGAGACACGGCCCAGACUCCUACGGGAGGCAGCAGUGGGGAAUAUUGGACAAUGGGCGAAAGCCUGAUCCAGCAAUGCCGCGUGUGUGAAGAAGGCCUGCGGGUUGUAAAGCACUUUCAGCAAGGAAGAAAA
rnacentral:rRNA from 1 species